rnacentral:rRNA from 1 species
GACGAACGCUGGCGGCGUGCUUAACACAUGCAAGUCGUACGGUAAGGCCCUUUCGGGGGUACACGAGUGGCGAACGGGGGAGUAACACGUGAGUAACCUGCCCACAACUUUGGGAUAACGCUAGGAAACUGGGGCUAAUACUGGAUAUGUGCUCCUGCUGCAUGGUGGGGGUUGGAAAGCUCCGGCGGUUGUGGAUGGACUCGCGGCCUAUCAGCUUGUUGGUGGGGUAGUGGCCUACCAAGGCGGCGACGGGUAGCCGGCCUGAGAGGGUGACCGGCCACAUUGGGACUGAGAUACGGCCCAGACUCCUACGGGCGGCAGCAGUGGGGAAUAUUGCACAAUGGGCGCAAGCCUGAUGCAGCAACGCCGCGUGCGGGAUGACGGCCUUCGGGUUGUAAACCGCUUUCAGCAGGGACGAAGCUUUUUGUGACGGUACCUGCAGAAGAAGCACCGGCUAACUACGUG